rnacentral:tRNA from 5 species
GGGGAUAUGGCUCAGUUGGUAGAGCGGUACGUUCGCAACGUACAGGCCACGAGUUCGAAUCUCGUUAUCUCCACCA